GCGUGGUUCGAGCGUGGUUUCCGGAGCAGCAGUGGCAGCAGCAGCAGGAGCAGCAGUGGCAGCAGCGUAGGCUCGUUGUUUGCGCGAUGGUUUCAUAUUCGUAUCAACUUCGACUCGUUAUGCUUUGCGGCAGGGAGCACUGCUGCGAGAGCAACAUUAGAUAUAUUUUCGUUCUAUCAACCUCCUGCUACGCAAGAUGCGGGAAAAUUGUGGUCGAGCCGGGGAUGCAGUUGCAUCGUUUCGCGAAUGCAUUUAACCGCACGGAAAGACAUACUUUGGAAGGGAAGCCUCGCUCAUCUUGGGAGCUUGGGUUGGGUGGGAAGAAGGAUAAGCGUAGAAAAGGGGUUUUCCACCAACAUAAAAUUAGUCAAGCCCUGAAAUCGUUUCCAGCGAGUGAGCGAAGCGAUGGAAAACGAUUCGUAUAAAGCUGGAAAGUGGCGUCUAAAAUGAUUUCGUUUCGAUGUCCCGGCCCAAUCGUGCCGCGAUCGUCCAAUCACGGGUAGCGCAGUAAAAUAAGAGGUGCUGAAAAAGAUAUGCUCCGAAAAAUAAUGUUGCAGGCUUAUUAGUGAUUGAAUAAUGUGUAAUAAAACCGUAAAUAUCAAGCCGUCA